rnacentral:rRNA from 1 species
CGAACGGGUGAGUAACACGUGGGCAACCUGCCCAAAANAGGGGGAUAACACUUGGAAACAGGUGCUAAUACCGCAUAACCAUAGUUACCGCAUGGUAGCUAUGUAAAAGGUGGCUAUGCUACCGCUUUUGGAUGGGCCCGCGGCGCAUUAGCUAGUUGGUGGGGUAAAGGCUUACCAAGGCAAUGAUGCGUAGCCGAACUGAGAGGUUGAUCGGCCACAUUGGGACUGAGACACGGCCCAAACUCCUACGGGAGGCAGCAG